rnacentral:tRNA from 1 species
GGCCUCGUGGCCCAAUGGCAAGGCGUUGGACUUCGAAUCCAAAGAUUGCGAGUUCGACCCUCGUCGGGGUCA